UAGUAACGGCGAGUGAAGCGGCAACAGCUCAAAUUUGAAAUCUGGCUCUUUCAGAGUCCGAGUUGUAAUUUGCAGAGGGCGCUUUGGCUUUGGCAGCGGUCCAAGUUCCUUGGAACAGGACGUCACAGAGGGUGAGAAUCCCGUACGUGGUCGCUAGCUACUGCCGUGUAAAGCCCCUUCGACGAGUCGAGUUGUUUGGGAAUGCAGCUCUAAAUGGGAGGUAAAUUUCUUCUAAAGCUAAAUAUUGGCCAGAGACCGAUAGCGCACAAGUAGAGUGAUCGAAAGAUGAAAAGCACUUUGGAAAGAGAGUCAAACAGCACGUGAAAUUGUUGAAAGGGAAGCGCUUGCAGCCAGACUUGCUUGCAGUUGCUCAUCCGGGCUUUUGCCCGGUGCACUCUUCUGCAGGCAGGCCAGCAUCAGUUUGGGCGGUGGGAUAAAGGUCUCUGACACGUUCCUUCCUUCGGGUUGGCCAUAUAGGGGAGACGUCAUACCACCAGCCUGGACUGAGGUCCGCGCAUCUGCUAGGAUGCUGGCGUAAUGGCUGUAAGCGGCCCGUCUUGAAACACGGACCAAGGAGUCUAACAUCUAUGCGAGUGUUUGGGUGUCAAGCCCGAGCGCGUAAUGAAAGUGAACGGAGGUGGGAACCCGCAAGGGCGCACCAUCGACCGAUCCUGAAGUUUACGGAAGGAUUUGAGUAAGAGCAUGGCUGUUGGGACCCGAAAGAUGGUGAACUAUGCUUGAAUAGGGUGAAGCCAGAGGAAACUCUGGUGGAGGCUCGCAGCGGUUCUGACGUGCAAAUCGAUCGUCAAAUUUGGGCAU
rnacentral:rRNA from 1 species